UACGAAGGGGGCUAGCGUUGUUCGGAAUUACUGGGCGUAAAGGGCGCGUAGGCGGCGUGUCAAGUCAGGCGUGAAAGCCCCGGGCUCAACCUGGGAACCGCGCUUGAGACUGGCAUGCUCGAGUUCGGGAGAGGAUGGUGGAAUUCCCAGUGUAGAGGUGAAAUUCGUAGAUAUUGGGAAGAACACCGAUGGCGAAGGCAGCCAUCUGGACCGACACUGACGCUGAGGCGCGAAAAGCGUGGGGGAGCAAACAGG
rnacentral:rRNA from 1 species